rnacentral:rRNA from 1 species
GACGAACGCUGGCGGCGUGCCUAACACAUGCAAGUCGAACGAAGUGGCGAACGGGUGAGUAACGCGUAAUCAACCUGCCCUUCAGAGGGGGACAACAGUUGGAAACGACUGCUAAUACCGCAUACUGAAGCAGGGGAUUGCGUCUGAUUGGCUAGUUGGGGGGGUAACGGCCCACCAAGGCGAUGAGACGUAGCCGGGCUUGGAGGGUGAACGGCCACAUAGGGGAUGGGACACGGGCCAGACUCCGACGGGGGGCAGCAGUGGGGAAUCUUCCGCAAAGGGGGAAAGUCUGACGGGGCAACGCCGCGUGAGUGAUAACAGCCUUCGGGUUGUAAAACUCUGUUAAUCGGGACGCGGUACCGGAAUAGAAAGCCACGGCUAAUUACGUGCCAGCAGCCGCGGUAAUAC